GAUGAACGCUGGCGGCGUGCCUAAUACAUGCAAGUCGAGCGAACAGACGAGGAGCUUGCUCCUCUGACGUUAGCGGCGGACGGGUGAGUAACACGUGGAUAACCUACCUAUAAGACUGGGAUAACUUCGGGAAACCGGAGCUAAUACCGGAUAAUAUAUUGAACCGCAUGGUUCAAUAGUGAAAGACGGUUUUGCUGUCACUUAUAGAUGGAUCCGCGCCGCAUUAGCUAGUUGGUAAGGUAACAGCUUACCAAGGCAACGAUGCGUAGCCGACCUGAGAGGGUGAUCGGCCACACUGGAACUGAGGCACGGUCCAGACUCCUACGGGAGGCAGCAGUAGGGAAUCUUCUGCAAUGGGCGAAAGCCUGACGGAGCAACGCCGCGUGAGUGAUGAAGGUCUUCGGAUCGUAAAACUCUGUUAUUAGGGAAGAACAAAUGUGUAAGUAACUAUGCACGUCUUGACGGUACCUAAUCAGAAAGCCACGGCUAACUACGUG
rnacentral:rRNA from 1 species